AUUGAACGCUGGCGGCAGGCUUAACACAUGCAAGUCGAGCGGGGGAAGGUAGCUUGCUACCGGACCUAGCGACGGACGGGUGAGUAAUGCUUAGGAAUCUGCCUAUUAGUGGGGGACAACAUCUCGAAAGGGAUGCUAAUACCGCAUACGUCCUACGGGAGAAAGCAGGGGAUCUUCGGACCUUGCGCUAAUAGAUGAGCCCAGGUCGGAUGAGCUAGUUGGUGGGGUAAAGGCCUACCAAGGCGACGAUCUGUAGCGGGUCUGAGAGGAUGAACCGCCCCACUGGGACUGAGACGCGGCCCAGACUCCUGCGGGAGGCAGCAGUGGGGAAUAUUGGACAAUGGGGGGAACCCUGAUCCAGCCAUGCCGCGUGUGUGAAGAAGGCCUUAUGGUUGUAAAACACUUUAAGCGAGGAGGAGGCUACUCUAGUUAAUACCUAGGGAUAGUGGACGUUACUCGCAGAAUAAGCACCGGCUAACUCUGUGCCAGCCGCCGCUGUAA
rnacentral:rRNA from 1 species